CCUGCUGCAGGAUCAUUA
rnacentral:rRNA from 1 species